rnacentral:rRNA from 1 species
UACAGAGGGUGCGAGCGUUGUCCGGAAUCAUUGGGCGUAAAGAGCGUGUAGGCGGCUCGAUAAGUCUGCUGUGAAAGUCCAGGGCUCAACCCUGGAAGGCCGGUGGAAACUGUCGGGCUAGAGUCCGGAAGAGGCGAGUGGAAUUCCCGGUGUAGCGGUGAAAUGCGCAGAUAUCAGGAGGAACACCGAUGGCGAAGGCAGGUCUCUGGGCAUUAACUGACGCUGAGGAGCGAAAGCAUGGGGAGCGAACAGG